UACGAAGGGUGCUAGCGUUGUUCGGAAUUACUGGGCGUAAAGCGCGCGUAGGCGGCUUGACAAGUCAGGGGUGAAAUCCUGGGGCUUAACCCCAGAAUUGCCUUUGAAACUGUUAAGCUUGAGUGUCGGAGGGGAUAGCGGAAUUGCUAAUGUAGAGGUGAAAUUCGUAGAUAUUAGCAGGAACACCGGUGGCGAAGGCGGCUAUCUGGACGACAACUGACGCUGAGGCGCGAAAGCGUGGGGAUCAAACAGG
rnacentral:rRNA from 1 species